rfam:Capsicum annuum cultivar Zunla-1 chromosome 3, whole genome shotgun sequence
AGGAGUCGUGUGAGAUGAAAUUCUCAUGCACGAUUUUGAAUGAGAGAAAAAAGUGAGGAAUCCUCUUUUCGACUCUGAC